CCUGUGAGGGAUGAAGCUUAGGCUGCUUUGAAACAAAUUGAAUUAAUUUGAAAUGAUUCUUUCCAGGUAUGACAUUCUUGGAAACAGAUGUGGGGAUAAGGAGGGAGGGCAUCAAAAGUCCAGAUAUAUAGACCUAAAGCUGUAUCCACCUUUCUGUAUAAACAUUGGCACCUUUUUAAAUAUUUCCAGAAAUAUUGUAAUGCUUGAAACCCUGUUCACAUAAGAUUACAAUUGUUGAUACUCCACAGAAUUAGUGACAAGGGUCACCCAGUGACAAGGGUCCUCACACAAAUUUUCCAUCUCUAUCACUUCUCUAAAAUGUGAAAGUUGUGGCAGAGUGGGCUGAGGAUCAUGCAACCUUUUUUUUGUAGGAUGUUAAAAGAGUAAAUUUAUAUCCAGACAUUUCAUGGUGAGUGAAAAAGGCCAGAUUCCAGUUCACUGGCUGAGACAAGGCCUUCAUGGAUGAAAGGGAGCCUUAUUUUGAGUGGCAUUCACAGCCCUUCCACUAGAUUGAUUGAUACUAUUCCACUAUUGUUGAUUGAUUUUACAUGGAAGUUACUCAGGGGUUUCCAUUGCUGAGUAGCAGUGCAAACUCCUAAAUAGCAUAGAGCAGAUUUAUACUGUUUCCCAAACAAAUGGUAUCAUAAAUGCUUUAAAUAGUACAGUUACACAGCUAAAAUACUAUAUACCAGCAGAGGAGGUGGAGGUAAGGGCAAUAAGGAUAGUAUCAGGAGAAAAAAAUGUUCUGAGACUCAGAAAAUCUAAAAUUUACACCCAACUCUGUAAGCUACAAGUGCUCAGUUCGCCUGAAAACAAGCCCAUGCAUAUGCAUUCUCAUUUUAACCUACAAAAACAUUUCAAAAUCCAGGCCCUGAUCUGGCAAGAUGCUGAAUGUUUUCCCUUUUCAUCAGACAAGCCUCUAAAAGAGAUACUGAAGCGUGCAUACUGUAGGAGCCGAAGCGCAGCCACAAAGGCUAAUUUACCCAGCCAAAAAGCAGUCAUUGCUGCCACUGCUAUGCAGACAUACCCACUGCCUUCAGCAAAACUUUAGUGAAGACUGAGGGCACUUGUCACUUCACAGGGAGCACUCAGUGUCUUCCAGGCUCACAUUGGGUCUACAUAUGGAUGAGCCGAAUAUUUUUCACUACAAACACUCUUCCCCUUCCAGGCCUCCUUCGCUUUCAGUUCUGAAGGGUGAAUUCAUUGAAAACAUCUGCACUACUAGAAACAUUCUGUGCUUUUUCCAAACCUCAUCCCCAUGGUGGCUCUGUAGUAAUGGAGAAUAGACAGAGCUGCAUAACACAAGCCUGCAAGCAAUGUUCAUUGCUGUAGGGAGAGGAUACCAAAUGCUGGAGCUUUGCCUCCAGUACCUAGCUACUACCAGGGCUUGUUCACCUUCUGCCCUCUGCCAUACAGCCAAAAGGUUUCCCCCUCUGUCAUGCAGCCAAAAGGCUUCCACAGCAACUGGCACAUGCCACCACACCACUCUGACCUCCAAUAUACGGAACACAGCUUAAACAAAUCUCGCUUAACAGUGUCAUGUUACCUUCUGCACACCUAGGAGUUGCUGCAUGCUUCCCUUGGUAUCAAGGCCAGUUCUGGAAUUAGUUUUUGGAUAUUUUACAUAAUUGCUAUGUCUCCUUCUUUUAUAAUUUUUCCUGUUUUUCUUUAACUUUUCAGACUCGCAGCACUAAAGAAAGGGCUUUGUAACUGUGUCACAACAGCGCAGUAGGGGCAUAAAUGGGACUGAUCCUGUGUCAUUCACAAGCAGCAGCAAUGAACUGUGCUAAGACUGCAAGAGCAUGUUUAUGGCAGCAAACUUUAAUGAGCCACAUGAAAUCUUCAAACCAAGGAAAGGAAAAGACGUAUUUUUGUUUGGGGAAUAAGGGAUGUGGACCAGCCUUCAGCAGGCCUACCAGGAAGGCAUGUGUAAGGGCUUGCGUGGCCAUCUGUUUCUCCUCCUUAUCAGCACUCCAGUGCCAGCUGCCUCUGUGGCUGAGCCGUCCCACAAGCAGGUCCCCUGCCCAGUCCUGUGCUGCUUCUGUCUACUCCUCACUAAUCCCACAUAGCCCUGUGAGCUGCUUCCUACCAGCCCUGUUUGGCCCCACCCCGCUGUAAACCCCAUAUAAAUCACAGGGGGGAAGCUGGCGUCUCCCCAGUGGUGCCUGCUAGCAGCGCUGCUCCUUUCCCUCAGCAGUUGCUGUCGGUGCUGCGCUUGCUUUACUUCCCGUGUUCUUGAGCCUGCUGAACCUCCAUUUCCUGCAGUGCCAUAGAAGUGUGGACCAAGCCUGAACAACCAUGGGAUUUAUGUUUGCUGACCUAGCACCCACAUCCCAGUGCUGCCGUGCUCAAACUGCAAUUAAAGCUGCAAAGGCAGCCCAGAAGUAGAUACUCUGGAUAGACAGGCAAGAUAAGAACCUAAUAGCAGAUAGACAGGCUGAUAGGCGAGUUUGAAAGCUGCAGCCACCUGGGAGCCAUGCACGGUGAUGCAAUGCAGCAGUGGCAGUUGCCAAAGUCGUUCUGACAGCAGAGGCCAAGGGUGGGCAGGGAGCCCGCAGGGGCGCCGGGGAGGGGAGCUGGGUCCAUCUGCGCGGAGGUGUGAAAACAGCAGAGCCACAGCCAGGCUCCCUUUGGGGCGUCUCGCAGCGCUGGCAGCACAGCGCUCCGCUAAGCCUUGUGCUCAGAGACCAUGAACAACCAGGAUUGAAAAAAUAUGUGUAACCUGGCUAAAGGACAGCAAGCUGCUGGGGGAACGGAAGGGGAAGGCAGGAGAGCGUGGUAGGCUGUGGAUAUCUGGAGGAUACUGACCCCAGCAAAGGCGCAGAGGCCAAGUAAGAGAGCAAGAAAUCAUCCAGGACGCUACGUUUUGCAUUACAGUUCCAUGAAUGAAAUACUGGAUGAAAUUAGGAGAAGAACAAUGAAACCCAGCCAGGCAGGACAGGCUGGCAGAUGCACUGGCACUACCUCUCCUUUGCAUUCCAGGGCCUCCGUAAGCAGGGUGACAGGGAGGAAGGCAUGGGAGUUGCUCCCACAGCUCACCCAAGGCACAGCAGCCAGACCUGGCCUUCUCAAUUCACUUGCAAAGGUGGAGAGGAUCCAUCUCUAUUGUAAUGUCUUUCAGCCCAGGAGGCAUGGUCACAGACCAACCAUGAAGACAAUUCAGAACAAAACAAUGAUGCCUCUCCCCAAAGAAUUACCCGUUGAUCUAAGUGUAUGAGAAGUAAUAGCAACUGGAUGUAGUCCCUCCAUCAGGGAUUUAGAAAUUUACAGUGAGUUGCCACAGCACUUUCACUAGCUUUUCAGCCUCCUUUUUAGCUUUACUGCUUUCCAGCCAACAAAUUAAUCUAUACAAAAGACAACAUUGAAUGCAAUUUUCACUUUAAACUACAUGUUGAACUUCAAUGUCUUCAGUGAACCCAGAGUUAGAGAAGGACUGAUGUAGUUUGCAGGAUGGGUUUAUAAACUCAAAUCUGUCCCAGAUUAUUAUAGACUGUUUCUAUUAUAAGUAUAGUAAUAACAUCUUCAUAAUUUAACUGUUUGUCUCCAAGUACAACAGCUAUUUCCUUCUAGUCCCCAAAAACUGCUACCAGCACAGCAGAACGUGCUUUUGUCACAGACCUCCACAUCAAGAUUAAGGAUGGUGCAGGAUUGACAACUGAAUUACAGUGGAAGUACUUGCUCUUGCUUCAGUGUUGAAGGUACUAGUAGGUCAACACAGCAAAGGUCACACUGUUAUCACCAACACUGGAUUUCAGAACUUCCCUUCCCUGGGCUGUCAACUGAACUAGAUAUUACAAACCUCUGACUACCUCUUGGAGAAGAGUCAAUAGUCUGUACAGCUUAUUUCUGCUUUUACUUUUAAGUGGUGAUUUGUAUUCUGAAAUAAAGUAUGAGCCAGGUGUCCUUGUGCUAGGUGCUGCAAAAAGUUUUUUGAUAAUUUUUUGCAAAAGGAACCUAAAAGCUAAAAACAAGAAUAUUUAGGGGAAAAAUGAAAUGGAGAGGAGAUGUUCUACCACUGAAUCAAACUUAAAUUCCUAUUAAAGAACACGUUUUCACUUGAAGAAGUGAUUACAGAGUCUAUUGGAGUUUCUGUGGAUUUUACUGAGGCUGAGCACUACAAAUAUUAAUUAUUUGAAACAGAAAGGCUAAAACUUCCUCACCAAACACCCUAAACAAUGUUCAAAUGUGGAUUUGAGUGAGAUAUGAAUUCUGACUGGAUCCAGUACCAUGAAGGUCAAUCCCAUGUCAUACAGUACAAAGCAUAACUAUAAGAUUAAAAAGUACUGAAAAUAAAUCCUUGUUCUGCUUUGGUAAUUUUCAUUUACGGAGAUGCAAAUUACAAAUAUUUAUAAACAAUAUUCUCACAGGAAUUGGAGGGUAUUCUUCCUUUUCAAAUAAUUACUAUUUAAAGAAAUUUUGAGCUCACUUAAAUGCAAUGCAACAUGUGAGUAUGCUUAGCUUUGUUAGAGAAAAUAAAUAUUAUUAAAAAUAAAAUUAGCAUUGGAAAACCUCUGCCACAAAUCCCAACCAAUCCACCCACCAAGCUUGAAGGUAAACAUGCAAGAAAGUCUCAGAUAAUGCAGUGAUGCAAGAUGCAGAAGAAUCUGCUUGCUUGGGUAAGAUAGAAGAUCGCUACUUAACACCACUAAGACAACACCUCUGGGCUCUUUUAUUUCAGUACUGAGCUAACCUGACUCUGUUUAGCUCACAAAGUGUGUUGGGACCAGAUGAUGAUGAAGUCAGAGGCAAGAUAACUGGAGAUUAAACUUUACAGAUAUUUCUGUUCCUAAAAUUACUUCCCUUUCUGUACUCUGCUAGUGGCUCUGGCUCACAAGUUUAUUAUUCCUUCUUAAUAAAGUUAAAAACAAGUCAACCAGCAGAGGAUCAGAUUCUAAAUUUUGUUACUCUGUUAGAGUAAAAUUAAUGGUGGUUUGAAAACCUUUAUAAGGUCAGCAAGAGGUGCAUGGAGCACGCUGUGACCUAGUGUUAAAAGGAAGAAAUUCCAGUCCCAGUUUCUUCAGCCACCUUAAGUUCGGAGAUACAGAAGGAAUUAGAUACCUGCAAAAUGCAAAUGAGGAAGGGGAUGUGAUGGACUGCAAGGCAUAGGUAGUUACUCAGCAGUAUAAACAGUAAGUAAGAAGAAGAGCUUGUGAGAACAACAGUGGAAGGGGUCCUUUAGAACUGCAAGGAAAUGCAGCUACAAACCCACUGAGCUAUCAGUGCUGUCUGCACGCUUCUAUGAUGAGUGUUAUUUUGAGGAGGUGAGGAAUGCAAGGCAGGGGGUCUGUGGUCUAUGGUUUGUUUUCCCAUCAAUACAUAUGUCUGACUUUGGGUAAAAGAUUAACGAGACAGCUAGCAAAUGUCCUCGGAGACAAAUGGGUAAAAGGCUGUUUGUACAUGUCAGUUGAGGGAGGGCUCAUUCUCGUCUCUCAGUCUCUGAAUGAAUCUGCUAGGAUGCACACCUGCACCAGGAAGACUUCCUUGACAAGGUAACCCUUUCCUCUGCAGAACACAUGAGCGUGUCAGCAUACAGCUUACCUUACACGUACAUUCUUUCAGUCAAUGUGGUUUGGAAAGAACCUUCCACCUACUUUUUUUUCAGCAUGUGACGUACAUUACUGUAUGUUACAGAAAAGCCCCAGGUAAAGUAAAUGGAAACUCUAUCCAGCAGCUAUGCACCUGGUGUUUUUGCAUUUCCCAACAGAUAUUACUGUUUCUGGAAUGAUGUGUGAAUCUUCUACAACACCUCCUAUUGACAAUUUAUUUUAGGUGUGGCAUGAGAGAGAUCUGAGAUAUUGAUACUAAUGACCCACAGCCUCUUGCUAAAGAGAAGGAAGAAAGGAAGUAAGGGAAUUUAUAGUUUUAAAAAAAAUGCCAAACUAUAAAACCCCACAAAUAUUUACAUUCUGCUGCUUUUGACAGCAGCCAUUCUAUUACAGACCAAAAACACAGCAAAAGGGCAUGCUGACACUUUAAUAUUUCCAGGACAGUCAUGGUGGUGAGAAGAACAACUGGACUAUCACUAAAGCUCACCUUUUCUAGGUAUCAAAAACUCUGUUGUGUUUUCCUGUCCUGUUGUCAAUCUGUGCUGCUGGUGAUCCCUCAAAGUUGAUGGUGUAAUGGUGUUGGCCUGAGUCCCACUGCAAGGAAUGCACUGGCGCCUAGUCAGCCACCAGAACUAACCACAAUCUCCCUGCAGAUCUUAACUAACCUGGCAGAUCAGCUUUGUGGAGUAAUGCACAGAAAAUGGGAGUGCCUUUUCCUUUCCUUACAAUCCUUCUUUUUUUUUUUUUUUUUUUUAUUUGGUCUUUUUUGCUCUUUUCUGAGGGAUUUAAGCAGAUUCCCUAAGGAGAGAAAUGACCCACCACUUGUAACACGGUCACAACCUUCAACAUCUCUUAUGUUCUGAUCUCUGCUUUACCUAAAACCUGUGAAGUGUGAGUCACAUCCAUUUCCCUUAUGCCAUGAUAGGGAGGAAUGCUGAUAUGUGGGAACUGACAAAGAAGCAUGAGGGAGCCGAUGUUCACCUCUUAAACCUGACGAAAUUUGCUGGUGAAUCACAGGCUGCAAAAUACAACUGAGCAAGUUAAAUUCCACUUCCCUUGAACACGGAAGCCAGCAGUGCAUUUUGUCACAUGGUCACAUCAGCAGACCACAACAACAAGCGCAGUCACCUGGUGAAACAAUCCACACAGAGAUUUGGAAGGAAAAUUUCCUUUGGGCAGGUGACACUGGACAUCUGGCAGUCCUCCGCUUCUGUUCUGAGAGCAACACCCACGUUGUAGGGCAUGCUGCCAGAAGCUGCACCCACCUGGGAUGUAGCCAGCCCAAGAUGAAAGGGAGCACCAAAUGCAGAAGGGAUGAUUAGCAUUCACUGAUGUUGUUCAGGACACAAGUACCUGGGAACAUGCUAGCUCCCCUUAGGUGUUCAGUACUGCACAGAAAAGUCAGGGAACUAAGAAAGUUAAUCAGGUCAGAGCCAGGCUUGCAUAUGCUUUCUCCACAGGAAUUGCAAUCUAUUUGCCAAAUAUUCUGAUUGGGUAAUUGCUACCCGGACUACUAAGGGUAUGCAGCCCAAAAGAAGAUAAUUGCUCAGAGGUUCUGAUAGAUGGCAUCACUCUCUGCCAAAGUAUGUGACAGAAUGAGAAUUAUCAACACAUAAUGUAAGGAUACAAGCCUGCACAUACAGCAGAGCUGAACCCAUCAUGGCUGGCUGAAGCAAAAAAAAACAUUAACUCCUCAGACUGUUCAUAGGAAAGCAAUAAUUUGAUCCUGAACUCCAGAAGCAUUUGUGGACUCUAGAGAUUCCCUGAAAUAACCUUCCCUUUCUUAGGAUGCAGGGUACAAGCAUUUCUCCCUGCUCUCUCUAAAAUGUAAAUUUGAUCAAAGCUAAUUUUACCCCAGUGUCUAGCUAUGAGAUCAUGGUUCUACCAGCUUACAAGUUUAGUCUCACAUUGCCACAUAUUUUAUGGCCAAAUGCAACUUCAAGCAGAGCCUGUACUGUCCAUCAAGGGUGCUGCUGUGUGAUAAAAAAAAAAAAAAGCAAAAAUAUGUCAUCUGUUGUAUUUAACUAUAAAGCUUUGAUGAAAGUCAGGCUACUUCUAACAAAAAUCUUUAGGUACUAGUUAGAUUAGGAAACAGGAAAACUAGGUAUCCAAAAUACUACAACCUAAUUGUAUUAGAGAGUAUGAGAUUCCUGAAGCAUUACAGAGGUACAUUUCUUCUAUGCAACCAAACAGCAAUAUAAUCCAGAGAAGAGAACAGAUAUUUAUUAAAAGUUUCACUAUUCUAGUCAGUCAUGCAUACAGUGCUGACUCAGGAGCAAACAUUAAAAAGCAGGAGCCAUGUGGGAACUUAGAAAUCUAAUUGUACAUGUCCCAAGAGGAAUCAUUACAACAGUGUCAAACAGGCCUUAAGCAAGAGGAAUGAAUAAAUGGGGGGAGAUUUGACAGCAGGGGGAAACAGUGCUGGCAGAAAAGACCCCCAGAACAACAGGUACAAUCGACAGGCACAGCCUUCAGACUGAGGCUUUUAAGGAGAAAACUGAUAGCCCAUAUUAAAAGCAAAUAAGGAAAACAUGGUACAAAUAUAAUAAGGAGAGAGAGCACAUUAAAAUAUCCAGUGCAGGCGCCACUGCUGUGUGCCAUUAGGAGAUUAUACUCCUCCUUGUUUUCUUAGGUUUAUAACUGAAAUAGUUAAUUUUAGACAUGACCGCAAACAAGCAAAUAAACUCAAAACUACAUCUCUAAGAAAACUGGAAGAUGGCAACAUUAUUAGGGCUUACUCAAGGUACAGCACCUAGCCAUAAAUUCAAUACUAAUUAAAGGUUUAAUUCAGUACCUUUCAGAAAAUGACUGUUCAAUACAAGAAGGGUCUUUUGCCUAGUUGUGUAAGAUUGUGUUAUUUUACUAUGCAUAGUAUAAUAGCCCAAAAUGUUGGUGCAAGAAUGUGCACCAACAUUUAGUGGUGGGCUGAAACUUAGGAAAGGCAUGUGUGUAUUGAUAUUUGACUUCAGAAAACACACAAAUCACUUCAAUAAAACAGUGUUUGUCUUCUGUAUGA